AAGUUUAGCAUUUGGAUCCAUAGGAGUGUCAAUGGUUCGACAUCCCAUCAUUCCUAUUUCCUCAAGAAUGUCUAGAGCAUACUUGCGUUGAGAAAUACCAAUACCUGAGCUGGACUGUGCAACCUCAGUACCUAGAAAGUAUUUCAAUCUGCCAAGGUCUUUAGUCUGGAAAUGCUGAAAGAGAUGUUUCAAGUUAGUGAUACCAUCUUGAUCAUUACCGGUGAAAACAACAUCGUCAACAUAAAUCACUAAAUAAAUACAUUGAUUUGGUUCAGAAUGGCGAUAAAACACUGAAUGAUCAGCUCUACUACGAAUCAUACCAAACUCCUGAAUAAUUGUGCUAAACUUUUCGAACCAAGCUCGAGGAGAUUGUUUCAAACCAUAGAGUGACUUGCGCAAUCGACAUACAAGGCUACUAGACUCCCCCUUAGCAACAAAACCAGGUGGUUGCUCCAUAUAAACUUCUUCCUCAAGAUCAUCAUGCAGAAAAACAUUCUUAAUAUCCAACUGAUAAAGAGGCCAAUGACGAACGGCAGCCAUAGAGAGAAAAAGACGGACAAAUGCUAUUUUAGCCAUGGGAGAGAAAGUGUCACUAUAAUCAAGCCCAAAUAUCUGUGUAUCCUUUGGCAACAAGGUGAGCCUUCAACCGAUCAACCUGACCAUCUGGACCAACUUUGACUGUAUAAGCCCAACGACAACCAACAGUAGAUUUACCUGCACGAAGGGAAACAAGCUCCUAAGUACCACUCAUAUGUAAAGCAGACAUCUCAUCAAUCAUAGUCUGUUUCCAUCUUGAAUGAGAAAGUGCUUCACCUGUAGUCUUAGGAAUGGAAACAGAGGACAAAGAUGAUACAAAAACAUAAUGGGGUGAUGACAAACGAUGAUAACUCAAGAAAGCAUAAUGUGGUUUAGCAUUACGAGUGGAUCUUAUACCUUUUUGAAGUGCAACUGAUUGACUAGGAAGAGGCAAGUCCGCAGUACGGGAAGCGUCAGGCGCAGGACAUGAAUCAUUUGGGACUGUACUGGACGUGGGCGGUGAUGAUAAGUCAAAAGUGGUGGCAUUGUAGCUGAAGAUGGAGAAGUAACCGUAGAUUCCUAAAAGAUUGGUUUGGGUAAGAUUGGAGGUAUGGGUAAAACCUCAGAGAUAUUAAGAUGAUCAGAAGAUGUAUAGAAAGGUUGAGAUUUAAAGAAUGUGACAUCAGAUCAGGUGAACAACAUCGAUACCCUUUUUGAACUCGAGAGUAACCAAGGAAGACACAUUUGAGAGUACGAGGGGCUAAUUUAUCCUUUCCUAGGGCUAAGUUAUGAACAAAACAUGUGCUCCCAAAAACACGAGGGGGAUAGAGUAGAGAUGUGACUGAGGAAAUAGUAUGGAAUGGGGAACCUUAUUCUGGAUCGAAGAUGAUGGCAUUCUAUUAAUGAGAUAGCAAGAUGCGAGGACCGCAUUGCCCCAAAAACGCAAUGGAACAUGGGAUUCAAUGAGAAGAGUGCAAGUAGUCUCAAUGAGAUGCCUAUUUUUCCUUUCUGCUAUACCAUUCUGUUGAGGGGUGUAUGGACAUGAUGUUUGGUGAAUGAUUCCUUGAUGAGUCAUGAACUCCUGAAACUGGGAGGAUAAGUAUUCUAAGGCAUUAUCACUACGAAAAGCACGAAUAGAAAUACCAAAUUGAUUUUGUAUUUCAGCACAAAAACUUUUGAAUAUAGAGAAUAACUCGGAACGAUCUUUCAUUAAGUAAACUCAAGUACAUCUUGAAAAAUCAUCGAUGAAAGUAACAAAGUAACGAAAUUAAGGAUGAACGGACUCUACUAGGACCCCAAAUAUUGGAAUGAACUAAUGAGAAAAUAAACUCUGAGCGACUCUCAAUACUACGUGAAAAAGUAGCACGGGUGUGUUUCCCAAGUUGACACGACUCACAAUCUAAUGUGGAUAGACUAGACCAACUAGGCACCAUCUUUUGUAGCUUGGAUAGACUAGGAUGUUCAAACGUUUGUGAAUAAGGUCGGGAGUAUCUGUAGCGGAGCAUGCUGUGAAGGAAUUUGAAGAGGUAAGAUGGUAAAGGCCCUGUGAUUCAUGUCUUAUGCCAAUUGUCUGUCUCAUUUUGCGGUCCUGCAUUAGAAAAGAAUCAUCAAAAGAAGUUAUACUACAGUUAAGGGCACGUGUCAAACGACUAACAGAUGCAAGAUUAAAAGGACAACCAGGGAUAUAAAGAACAUAGUCUAGAGUGACAGAAGAUAAGGGUUUGGCUUGUCCAACUCCUUUUGGCUCUGUUCGAAUUCCAUUAGCUAAAGUAAUAGUAGGAAGAGAUUGUGAAUAAACAAUAUCAGACAGAAGUGAUUUGUCACCAGAAAUAUGGUCAGAAGCACCUGAGUCCACAACCCAUGAUCCAAAGGUAGGAGAUUUUGCAGUUGAGGCUAUUGGUAGAAAUAUAUUCUUACUUGCUUGAUACUGAAGAUACUCAUUAUAUUCCUUGUCAGAUAAAUAUACACGUUGAUCAUCUGUGGUGUUUGACUAAGCAAUAUGAGCAUUUUUGGAUUGUCGACCAUGCAAAGAAUAGCAUAUUCCACGAGUAUGUGUAAGCCUUUACAAUAACUACACUUAGGUCGAGAAUAGCAUACACCACGAGUAUGUCCAAACCUUUUACAAUAACUACACUUAGGUCGAGAUCUUCCAAAUCGACCUUCCCUUCGUUGAUUCUUCAUAAGCUCUAACAUUUGAGUUUCUGAUCUCCUCAUUAAGAUUCAGAUUUAAUCAUGAAAAGAAAAUAUUGUUUGAAUUUGGCCCUGAAAAAAGGAAAGUCCCCGGAUAUAAGAUCUGAUGUUCGAAAGUUGCUCGGAAUUAGAAAAUAAUCAUAUGAGCAGCCUCGGAAUGAAUAAGCGAAGUUACUAAAAAAAGAAACUGCCGGAAUAGACGCCAGAAUUUAGGUUCCGGUGAUCGGAAUCUUGAAAGGCUUGUCGGAAUCAAGAAAAAACUAUUGGUACAGCCUUUUAAUGAAGUGGCAACUUAGCUGAAAAAAAAUAAAAAAUUGGCCGGAAUAAGCUGCACGCGCCGGCGCGUGAAGCGCGUGAGGCGCAGAUCUGAAAGUUCCGGCGGCACGCGAAUCGCCGAAGAUAAGAUUCGAGCACUGGGGUUUGCUCGCCUGGGUGUUUCUCACCUCGUGGUGGUGUUGGUUUUCGCACACAACACUUAAAAAAUAGACAAGGACUCAAAUUGGACUUAUCAGUCGCCGGAAAUUGAAGUACCGGGCUGUCUUAUUGAGUUUUCUUCCUAGAAAUUUUCUCACAAAACCUGGCUCUGAUACCAUGUGGUGAACAAUAUUAGAGAAAAUAUUAUUGAAUUGUUGUAUCUAAAUUAUUACAUUGAGACCCUAUUUAUAGACACUAUAUUCCAAUCCUAUUCCUAAUAGGACACUACAUUACAAUCCCUUUCUAAGUAGAAUUCAAUAUGCUAUUCCUAUUGAUAUUCUAACAAGACUGACAUGAUAACCAACUACACUGCCAUAACAGUUUCAGCUAAAAGAAUAAGGUAUCGGGGGAUGUUUCUCAGUUGGGAUGCUUAUGUUCGGUUGUCUUAAUUUUGUCACACAAAAAGGGGAAACAAUUGGGCUGUGAUGAUUAUGUUUGCUGAUUGUGCAUUAGAUUUUUGUUGCCUAUAUCUUGGCAUGGCAACUUGAAUUUCUUCUGUUUACCAUGACAGGUGCCAGAAAAGUUGAUGCCCCAGAUACAAAUCUGAGCCACCAGUUGAAAGCAAAGUAUUAACAGUAGUAUUAGUACUUGGACCGUCGGUCUGAUUUAUGAGUUUAAUCCAAAGUAUCCUAAAACUAUGCAACUAUUUUCUCAGAAGUGGCAGUGAUGACAUUUGCUUAUCUGGGCUUCGAAAAUAGAGACAAUCGGAAUCUUGGCUUGGCAAACACUAGUUGCUAUGUGAUUUAAGGCUUCUCUUUCACAUGCAACUGUUACUUUUGCAGCCGCGGCAUGGUCUCUUUAUCGUUUCCUCAUUAAUAACACAGAUUGCGCCUCAAAAACUGUUGAGUAGUCUUGGACAUUGUUUGGUGGAAACCUAUUUUCACUUAUUUUGAAAGCCAGCUCGUAAAUGAGGCAUCAAUGAGAAAUGUGCAACUAUUUAUUUAUUUGCUUAUUCAGUCUGUUUUGCAAGUAAGCCAAGGAUUUCUUGCUGCUGCUACUGUUGAUUCUUGUCUUGCUGCUGCAUUGUUGAGUGUACACCUAAACAGCGAGAAUCAUUCCAGAAAAAGGUGAAAAUUUAAGGCAGUGAUGCAUAUCUUGACAAAUAGCAUUAUUUUUCUGCAUUGAGAUGAUACUAAGACUCGUAUCUUGGCAGGGCAAUCUGUUGAAGGUUGCAGCCAUAGCAUUUCUGAGUAACUUAAUACUUAUCAUAGAGAGAUCUGAGCCUUGUAUCAAGUACUUUCUAUAUUUAUUAACUCCUUUCCCCCAACAUCCUACGUGACAUAUGUAAGAACACAAGAUUUCAAUGACAUUUUAGUACACUACACACAUCUGUUUGGCCUAUGGUUCCUCCAUUAGUUCAACCAGUAGUCCUCUUCCUCUUUAUUCCUCAUAGAAAGCUAAUAUCUGGCACCUUUGCCUUUAUGCUUACUGGAAUCUUAAUAUGAGCUUAGUCCAAAACUUCCAGUGUUUCUUAGAAAUUUGGAAAAGAAUAACCAUUUUCUGAAAGAGGUGGUGAUGAUGCCUGCUUAUCUGGUUAAACCGUAGAACAGGAAUUCCAACCCAUCUCGUGGCUUGGCAAACACCGGCUAUGGUUUGAGGCUUCAUUUUCACAUGGUAUCCUUUUUUUCAGGGGUAGACAUGGUAUGACCUCCUUCUCUGUCUCAUUAGGAGCUCACAUCUGAGCAGCAGCUCGGGAUCAAACACGAAUCCUACGAAUGAAACCCAUUUUGUGUUGUUUCAGCAGCUCAAAGAACGAGAUAUCAGAGAGCAAUGGUGAUUUUUCCCUACGAAAAGAAAUCAACAGCACCCUUUGUGUCAAACGUUGAGUAGUCUUCACCACACCAUUGCAGCUUAAAGAAUAACACUGUAGGAGAUGAUUCUAUGUGAUGACCAUCUCCGACAUUCUGACAAAGUUACACGUUCAUAAAAUCAGGGAGGAGAAACAAUGAGGUUAUGAUGAUAGUGUUUGCCGAGCUCAUUUAGUCGGGCAUUGGAGUUCUGUAGCCGGUGUCUUGAAGGGGCAAUCUGAAUUUCUGGAAUUUGCAGCUAUGGCUGGUGCAAAGAACUCAAUGCCCCACAUAUACUGAGCCUCUUGCAUCAUUUCUCCAUUACCAACGAGGCCAACAAGAGGAAAAAAGGACCAAAGGUCUUGAGUUAAGACAAGCCUAUCUUAACUCCCAGUGACCUGCUCGGGGAGAACUUUUCGCACCACAGCUUUGGGAAUGUGUCUCCUUAUCUUUGUAUGGCUAAUGAACUCCUCAUUUUAGUCUAUUCUUUUCCCUCUUUGGGCUCGAGUUAAUAGUAGCCAUCGACCUUAGAGCAGAUUAUAGCCGUGGAUAUAUUGCUUUUUGUAUGUCUUCCAAGUUCAUAGUGUUAGAGAAAUCUACUUUCAAAACUCUGGAUUCUUGUUUUAUGCUUUAGUCGCCUUUUGUUAUAAUACUCCACUUGUUACUUUUCUCUUUUAA